CCAGAAAAUACAUAGAAAUGAACAGUAAUUAGCGCAUUGUGGAAAAGUUAAGGAACAAAUUGCUAUGUAGGGGGAAAAAAAAAAAAAACUUGUUGAUGGUGAGGACUUAUUUAGGCGGUGUUUAGGAAAGGCUCCUAGGAUGGGGGACACUUAUGCUGAAAGCUGGUCAAAGAGCAGGUAGCCAUUCUCAUCAUAUAGACCAAGUGCAAAAUCCCUGAUGUAAGAAAGAACGCAGAGAGCUUUAUGACCGUCACAAGGUGAGUGAGGUAAACCAGGGGGAGAGUUAGGUGUAAGGUCAGGUCAUGCAGAGGGUUGUAAGACAAUUGUAAGAAGUUUGCAGUGUAUUCCACUGAAGAAAAAUACUAAAAGGUUCUAGAAGGUGGUGGGAUCAUGAUCACAUGAUCUGGUUGUGAUUUAAAAUCUCUCUGACUGUGAUCUAAUGAGUGGAUCAGAGGGAGCCAGAGGUUGAGUGAAUGGCUAUUGACGAGGUUAUUGUGAGUUACUCAAAGUGUCUUGAAGAGUGAUAGAAGCAUUUGCUGCUAUUGACUCAGUGUUUUUUCCUUCUGAUUUGGCCACGAAAUAUUGUGUAUGUAUGUGUGUAUGUGUGCGCACACACAGCUGUGGAAUUAGUCUUCUCAGGAGCCCAGUUGGGAAAGUGCUAAGAAUAUUUCCCCAAAUUAUAUUACUUCUCCAGAGUAUUUCAGUAAUUUGUUAAAAGCUUAUACGUCUGGAGGCUGUUUGGAGGAGUUCUGUGUCAACACUUCUGUUCUUCCUUUGCAGGAGGCAUAAUGAGGACAGAAUGAGUGGGCACAGAUGAUAGUUUGCUAUUAAGUAGUUUCAGUUUCUUCUCAGAAAUGUGAACUCCUAAUCCUUAGUCAUAACGCACAUCUUUGGGCAGGGUGUACAACACCGCCUCCAACUGCAGCUCACUCUGCAUUUUUGCCAGAUGUGGAUGGCUUGGAGGAGGCCAGUAGCUCAUCUCUCUUUGCCAGUUCUGAUCAGGUGAGGGCAGGCACAGAGAACCAAGUGGGGAUUCAAAUGCAGGAUCUGCUUAUUUAUUUAUUUAACUGAAUUGUAAUCGAUUUACAGAGUUGGGUUAAUUUCUGCUGUAUGGCAAAGUAAUUUAGUUACCCAUACACAUUCAUUCUUUUUCAUAUUCUUUUCUAUAAUGGUUUAUCACAGGAUAUUGAAUAUAGCUCCCUGUGCUAUACAGUAGGAUGGGGAAUUUGGGGUUGGUAGAUGCAAACUAUUGCAUUUAGAAUGGAUAAGCAAUGGGGUGCUACUGUAAGCACGGGGAACUAUGGCUAAUCUUGCGGGAUAGAACAUGAUGGAAGAUGGUAUGAGAAAAAGAAUGUAUGUAUAGGUACGGCUGGGUCACUAUGCUGUGCAGCAGAAGUUGGCACAACAUUGUAAAUCAACUAUAAUAAAAGAAUUCCUAUUGAGAAAUAUUCA
rnacentral:lncRNA from 1 species